AAGUUUGGAAGAGCUUGGAAGUGCAUCCGGCUGGACAAGUUUUCAUGCUGAUAUGUUUGGAAAACUCGCCUAGCUGGAUGCCUUUUCAAGCUCUUUCUCCGAAACUG
rnacentral:pre_miRNA from 1 species